UACGGAGGGUGCAAGCGUUAUCCGGAUUCACUGGGUUUAAAGGGUGCGUAGGCGUCCCGACAAGUUUUCGGUGAAAUCCUCAAGCUUAACUUGAGAAUUGCCGAGAAAACUGUCGGGAUUGAGUGUAGCUGAGGUGGGCGGAAUGUGCCGUGUAGCGGUGAAAUGCGUAGAUAUGGCACAGAACACCAAUAGCGAAGGCAGCUCACUAAGCUACUACUGACGCUGAGGCACGAAAGCGUGGGGAGCGAACAGG
rnacentral:misc_RNA from 1 species